rnacentral:rRNA from 1 species
ACGGAGGGUGCAAGCGUUAUUCGGAAUUACUGGGCGAAAAGCGCGUGAAGGCGGGGAGGCCAGUCUGAUGUGAAAGCCCUGGGCUUAACAUGGGAAGGGAAUUGGAAACUGCCUAUCUUGAGUGCUGGAGAGGAAGGGGGAAUUCCCGGUGUAGAGGUGAAAUUCGUAGAGAUCGGGAGGAAUACCAGUGGCGAAGGCGCCCUUCUGGACGGCAACUGACGCUGAGACGCUAAAGCGUGGGGAGCAAACAG